rnacentral:rRNA from 1 species
UACGUAGGGCGCAAGCGUUUGUCCGGAAUUAUUGGGCGUAAAAGAGCUCGUAGGCGGCUUGUCGCGUCUGUUGUGAAAGCCCGGGGCUUAACCCCGGGUCUGCAGUGGAUACGGGCAGGCGUAGAGCAGGUAGGGGAGAACGGAAUUCCCGGUGUGAGCGGUGAAAUGUGUAGAGAGUCGGGAGGAACACCGGUGGCGAAGGCGGGUCUCUGGGCAAUCCUGACGCUGAGGCGCGAAAGCGUGGGGAGCAAACGGG